rnacentral:lncRNA from 1 species
GAUACACCGAAAUCGAUAAAAAAAUUGUCAUUGCCCGAAACCCAAAAUCGUUUUGAACAAACAGUUGAAGACGAAAUCAGAAAUUAAAAAGCCAAACCCCAAAAUCGAUUAGAUACUUACAAAGAGAUAAGGACGAAAAAAGAAAUCUGAUCGAUAGCUUUAAAUCUCGUUUUGAAGAAUAGAAAACCCAAAAUAGACUGAAAGGUGAUAAGGAACAGAACCAAUUUCAACAUUGAAGAAUAGAAAACCCAAAAUAGACUGAAAGAUUAGGCUUGAAUUUCGAUGAUCUGCAGAGAAAAAUGUGAGGAGGGAAGAAGAUAA